UGGGGAAUUUUGGACAAUGGGGGCAACCCUGAUCCAGCAACGCCGCGUGAAUGAAGAAGGCCUUAGGGUUGUAAAGUUCUUUUAUCUGUGAGCAAAGCGCAUAUGUGAAUAUCAUGUGUGUAUGAGAGUAACAGAAGAAUAAGCACCGGCUAACUACGUGCCAGCAGCCGCGGUAAUACGUAGGGUGCGAGCGUUAAUCGGAAUUACUGGGCGUAAAGGGUGCGCAGGCGGUUAUACAAGACAGGCGUGAAAUCCCCGGGCUUAACCUGGGAAUGGCGCCUGUGACUGUAUAGCUAGAGUGUGUCAGAGGGGGGUAGAAUUCCACGUGUAGCAGUGAAAUGCGUAGAUAUGUGGAGGAAUACCAAUGGCGAAGGCGGCCCCCUGGGAUAACACUGACGCUCAUGCACGAAAGCGUGGGGAGCAAACAGG
rnacentral:rRNA from 1 species